CACCCCACAGCAUGCAGAAGUUUCUGGGCUAGGAAUCAAACCCAUGCCACAGCAACAACCAGAGCCAAUACAGUGACAACACCAGAUCCUUGACCUACUGUACCAUAAGGGAUCUCUUAGGAGGAAUUUUUUAAGCCACUCUCCAAAUUUCAACUAGAGAAUUAGUCUAUGUGUACCUUUUUACCAAGUUCUAGGAAAAGCAGACCAGAGGAACCAAUGAUUACAUGUAGCCAAAGUAACCCUGAAUUCAGAAACUUAAUGUAUAAGCGUCAGAGACGUUAUAAUUCUUUAGUAAUACAAACCAAAAAAUUCUCUGUGCCUGAAAUCCCUUUUAAAAAUGUGCUGGGCCUUAAAAAAAAAAGCCAUUCUAAAACCUAUGAGUGCUAGAUUAUUUACUGUUCAGUACUGCAUGGGGAGGGGUAGUGGUUAAGGAAAAAUUCCUCCCCUCUGGUCCUCCCUUCUGAUUUGAGCCACAAUGCAAAUUGGGGGGUGAUUUCAAGGCUUAACAAUAGUAUCCCACUGAUCUUUGCAGGAUUGCAAAUAAAAGAGGCUGUAUCCUCAGGAGGGCUAUUAGAGCUAAGGUCUCUCAGCUCCUAUUGUUAAAGAACAUUCAUUACCAGGCUCUCAUAUACAAUCCCAAGAAUGAAGCAAAUAUGAGUCUGCAAUGUUCUCAGUAGUUCUUAUGCAAUUGCCUCUUGGGCCUAAUUAGAGCUGCUUUUGUAAUUCACCCGCCAUAAAUUCCUUGUGAUGCUCUCAUAGCCCUGGAAGAUUGGCCACCCCAAGCCUCUGUUUUGUGCUGAUACUUAGCCUCCACCCAGUGACACAGAAGUCAGUGGCAAUCACUCUGAUGGCCACCUUGUGGUUAGUGGCCCUCAGACACUAUGGGAUGGCUUCCCGAUUCCUUAAUUGUUUUCCUGUUAUCUGCUGAUUGGGUUAAAAAAAAUUACUUUUGAGACUGUGCUGGGCAGCACCUGCCUUCUUCUCAGCUAAUUUAUUUUAAAUUGGUUUAGUACAGACUUUUUACCCAGUGAUGUCUACAGAGCUAUGAAUUCAUUUCCUCAUCCUACUUCUUGAAUUUGAUCAAGGAAUGAAAAUGGCUAUAAAGCUUUAUGGCAACACUUUGGAAGAACAGACAAAGGGAACCAAGCCAAGCUAAUUUCAAAAGUGGAAAACAAAUAUUUCAAAAGGUUCUCAUCCAUGGUGGGAAGUAACAGAAUAGGUAGUUAUACUAUAUCUAACAUCUGCUUAUGUGGAAGAAAACAUUGUACUCAUUUACUGAAUUUCUGUAAAUUAUCUUGUGCUUUACAUUUUUUCCUCUUUUCAUGUAGUCCCCCCAGUAACCCAAUGGAUAUAGAUAUGUAUUAAUCUUAUUUUAUAUUUUUUUAAAAAGAAGGGCUUAGGAAAAUUAAAGUACUUGCCUGAGAUCACACAGCCAUUAAGAGUUGAACCUUGAGCAGUUCAACUCCAAAGUUGGAGCCCUUGCUACAUCAUCUAUAUUUUGAAGUCCCUUUGUGUUGACCUGCCAAGCAGCUAAACAGGAGGUGAAUUGGGGUGUUACGAAAGGAUUCUUUACUUUCAAAAAGGAUUCACAACAGGGUUCCUUGAAAGAGCCAACUCCCCUAUUGUGCUGAAAGUAUAAUCCAAGCUACAAAAAUUUCUAUUUACAAGAAAUAUUUCUGUACCAUAUCUGCUAUAUAAAGCAGAGCAGGAUUUUAAUAUAGUUAUUUUCUUUUUUUUAAUGGAAGCACCAAAAAUGUAGGACUUCACUGAGGUCAAGGGUCAUGAAAUCAUGUAACUCUAGUAAUUAGCAUAAUGGUUGGCACAUAAUAAAUACUCAAAAUUAUCUGCCAUUGUUUUUCUGUGAUAGACUGCACAAACGGUCAUAAAUACUUCCACUCCCUUCCACCGAGAAGUAAAAUCUAUUUCUUCUUUCUUUGUAUCUUGACUGGCCAGUGUAUUUGUUUUGGCCAAUGGAACAUUAGCAAAUAUGAGGUAAUCAGGAGCUUGAAAAAUGCUGGAGCACCUGCUGAACUUGAAACCCAGAGAGCAUCAUGUGAUUUAGUCCAAGAUAGUCUGCUGCAGGAUGAAAAGUCAUGUGGAAGAGAACCAAAGCAUGCUGGAGAGCACCCCAGCCAACAGGCAUCCAGACCCUGGCUGUCAGCCUAUUAACCUCUAGACACACAAGGGAGGCCAUUGUAGACCAUCAGGCAGACCUGCCAGCCUACAGCAGAUGUGUGAGAGAGCCAGCCAUGACCAGCUGAGCACCACCAUCCCCCAGGUCAGAGGAGCUGAACAGUUCAAAGAACUGCCAGCUAAAUAAAAUGGCUUUUGUUGUAAGCCACAAAACUAUGGGAUGAGUGUUUUAACCAAUACGUGGUCCCAAGGCAUUUUCUAUCUGUUACGUUCUGAAGCCUUACAAGAAAUAGAAAAGAAAACCAUAGAAUGGCCAGAAAUAGAAACUAGCAAAAAGAGACAACGAGCUGUCCGAAGUAUGAACUGAAUCAUAGAGAAGCUAAGGGACUCAGAAAACCACAGUUAGCAUUCAACUCUCUGUCCCCGUUUACUGAUCUUUCCAUGGCACCAAUCCCUUUCUCUGAAUGUUGGAGGCUAACUGGAUCAAUUCCACGUUCCCAUUGUAGUCUCCCGCCCCAUAGGAAGCAAGUCAAUUGGAGUUUAAGUUAAGAAUAAAUGAAGAAUUUUUCCAGUGUGCCUCUUCCAUUUCUCCUUCCCUCUUCAGAUCUCUUUUGCAGGUGAUUCAAGUCACCUAGCAAAAUAGGGGGGAAAGUGGAUAAAAGGACAGACAGAAGCUACAGUAAUGUAUGACCAGAGGGUGUUUUUCACCUUCAAAGCACAUUGACCAUAAAUUACAGGAUAUACUUUCACAUUUUCUGGUCAGCAAUCAAGUUAAGGGUGCCACCUUCCACACUGGAGAGAGCUCAAUGGCUAUUCUAAUAAAGGGUGAGGAGAUGGCCCAUCCUUCUCCCUCCACAAGAAAAAAAAAAAAAAAUAGCUUCAGAAUACUCAAUAAAGCUAUAUUCAGGUUCGAGCUAUAUAAUUCAACACCCUCCUCCAGAAGGCACCUUCAGGGAUGAGGAGAAAUGGAACCACAAUUUCUAUUCCAUAUUCAGUAUAAAAUAUUCAAGUAUUUAAAGACUUCCAUAUUGGGAACUUCCCUCAUGACGUAGCAAGUUAUGGAUCUGGCAUUGUCACUGCAGCACUUGGGUCACUGCUGUGGCACGGGUUUGAUCCCUGGUCCAGGAACUUCCACAUGCUGCAGCCAAAAAAAUAAGUGAAGACCUCAAUACUGGCCCUUAAACAGUAAAACUCCAUAUAUGGUGGGAUUAAUAAUGUAAAUUCUAGCACAUGUGGCUUAUCUCAGAAACCACACAUUGCCACAAUAUCAAGGUGCUUUUCUAUUUUGGCUAUGGAUCCACAGCAGUCCUCCAUUGCUUUAAUGAGUUGAGAAUUUGCUUUCUGGUUCAAAAGCCUUUGGGUGGGAGGGGGUGGCCAUUCAGCCAAGCUAUUUACAUGCACCCAGAAGAAACACCCAACGCUGCCAGGCUCCAGGAGUAGUUGCAGAAUGUCCAGGGCCCCAGGAAAUAGCUGGACGUCAGAGCAGGGCCACCAGACGAGCUUGGGCACCUUGCUUUAGUUGAUGAUCCAUCCCUGGGGGGGAGCAGCCAUUCCUUACACUGUGAACCAGUCUUGGAAGGAGUUCUGCCAGAUAUCCCAGUAAGUGGCUGUAUGAGCUCCCUGGCCCCCUCAGGUGACCUCUGGGAAGGGGAGCCUCAUUGCCUCCUCUCUCCCACAUCUCACCCACACAGCCCAUCACCCCAAUUCAAACCACAGCUCUUCCUUCUUUUUUGCUCAAGUCCCUUUUCCUUGUCUACCCUCCUCUGCCUUUGUUCUACUUCAUAGAGAGCACCUCAGUCAGUUGCCUCCUUCUCAACAGCAUCCACCCUCCCAUGACUGGUGUGUGUGGGGCACAUAGUCAUUGGAGUUUCCUCUCCUCUAGGAAAAGGCCAAAGCUCCAAGUCCAGCUCCUGAAACCAGGAAAGACCAAUGUGUUCCUCACCUGCCAUCUUGAACCCCUGCCUCCUCCUCUCUGCCUGUCUCUUUGGACCCCAACCCCCAGAACUAGUGCCUGCAUGGGAUCAGCACCCAGCUACCAACCUGACUCUGGGGGAGAGAAGAUUAAAGGAGAGGAUUCAAGGCCUAGGGACAAUUAGAGAGCUCACUGCUAAGAAGGGGCAAAGUUAUGAGCCCCAGUCAAGUUCUGAUGAGAAUCCCAGUCCCCUAAUGGCUAUGAACACAAUGUGAAAGAUGUUGGAAAGGCCCUAAGCACUUAUCAAACCCUGGCUCUGGCAAAGCAGCAUUUAGCUAGUGAAUACAGCAUCAGCCAAAAGAGCAGACCAACAAUUUCAAAAAACCAACAACAAAAACAAAAACAAAAACAUAGGAAAUUAUUACAUUGAUGGGAUGAAGGAUUUGUGUUAUAACAUAUGGCAUUUGGAAGAAACUGUUAGGUUAUAUACAUUUUAGUUUAUAUUAUAUAUAUAACAGUCUAUAUAUAAUAGCAGUAGUAUAUAUGAUAUAUACUAUAGUACGUAAUAGGUAUAUAUGUUAUAUAUAGUACGUAUUAAUAUAAUUUAAUUUAUAUGUAGUAUCUAUAGUUUAGCUAUAGAAAUAAAAGGGACUGUAUUUUUAUUUUUAUAUUACAUACCAGUUAUUAAAUGUUUUACAUACCUAGGUAUAAUUAAUCUAUCUAAUUAAUAAGAUAACAUAGAAGAGAUAAUAACACGAGGCGCACACUUAUAGAACUUUGACUAAUCCCCCAAUAUUGAGUUCACUCCAAACAGUUAGUCCAAACAGAUCUUGGUAACUCCACCCUCUUAUUGAUUAGUAGCUACGAAAUGGGUAUGCAACCCAACUAGCCAAUGAAAAAUAAUGUAAGUCUCCUGCGGAUUCAGAGGCAAGUUUUCUCCAUGUAAAGAGACAGCUAUGGAAAAGGCCAUCCUCCUUCUCAGGUGCUACGUUGUCAAGAUUACCUGGGGCUGCUGAGGCCACCCAGCCACCAGCCUGAGGACAAAGCCAGCGUGUUGAGGAAGGCACAAGAAACACUGAGUGCAUCACUAACAACCACAUGAAAUAAGCUUUCUUGUUCCUUAAUCAUUUGUGUUGGGAGCUUCUAUUCCUUGGUGCUGAAAGCAUCUUCUCAGACACAGGAUCUCAUUCCUAGACUCACCCUCUAUCUUUGCACCAUAUGCUCCUUCCUCGUCCCACUUCUCUUGGUUUCAGCCUCUGACAUGGAUGGCCAGUCCCUACCUGCUCCCACCUAUGUUGCUGCCUUCAAAAGGGAGAUGUUCAGACUUGCGACCUGAAGGAGGCAGGAAGGGACCACUAUGUGACUCUGAUAUGAGUGUGGGUAGGGGCAAUUACUGCCCUGCCACCACAAUCCCUCUUCUUGAUGAUGCUAAAAACAAUGUCUGCUUCUCAGGCCUGAGUGACCUUAUGGGUCUUUAACCCUGGGAGGGCAGACAAGCAGUGGUGGGGACACCAUCUAGCCACUAAGAAAAAAUUAAAGAAAAUCUCAAAUAAAUAUAACUAAAUCAACCUGAUCUCAAGAAGAAAACCAGCACAAUAUUCCAACUGGAACUGACCAAGACAGAAAGAAAGACAUUUAGUAUCAUCUGUUAGUGAAUUCUAUCUGGCAUAAGUUUUCCCCUGAGUUAUGCAUUCUGGUAAGACAUCUUUGCAUUCUCCCUUUUCUCCUAACAUUUAAAAAAAUCAGACCCUAAUACAAGGCAGUCAGGGGCAGCUGGAACCUUUUAAUAGCAUGUACAACAGAUGUUUUCAGCCCUGGUCAGGUUAAAAGUACAGUUUGAAUUUUAACUGGAAUUUGUAGUAACUGAUAUAACUUGAGGUUGAGACAAUUCAAGAUGAUCUAAAUGAAAGGGCAAUUAUUAAGAGAAGUGCCCCCAGCUUCCCCUGGGUGAAUUUGUGAAUGGGGAUAAUCAAUUUGAGAACUUCAAUGGGGGGUUAGAUAGUUGGAAUAAUUUAUACAUAAUAUUUUUAAAGAAGGUAACUGAGCUAUGACCUCUUUUAAGUAAUACAGCUCUUACUGGUGUCUCUGGGAUGGUGGCUGAGUGGAGACAAAUGCUCAGAUGGCUUUCCAAACAAUAGUAAAUGAUAGGUUAAUGAUAAAUACUUGAGGGAUCAUGGGAUAUUCAGUUAUAAAUACCGAUGAUGGGAAAUACACCAAAGUAAAAGGAGAUGCCUCUGUCUACAGGAAAACGUAAAAUUCUAUCCAAUUCAGUCUGGGGUAAAGUUAGAAAUACGGAUGUAAAGGCUAAAUACAGAAUAUCAAACACGCUCACCUUCAAAAUCUCCAACUGCAGAGUGGCAUUAUUCCUACUCAUUUCUCCAGAAAUAGGAGGAGGGGCAUAUUUUGAAGGUACCAUUCAUAGGCUGCAGAGUAAGACACAAGCAUCCUUCCUGCU
rnacentral:lncRNA from 1 species